UACGUAGGUGGCAAGCGUUGUCCGGAUUUAUUGGGCGUAAAGCGCGUGUAGGCGGCAGCGCAAGUCGGAUGUGAAAUCCCAUGGCUCAACCAUGGAAGUGCACCCGAAACUGCGUCGCUAGAGUCCUGGAGAGGAAGGUGGAAUGCUUGGUGUAGAGGUGAAAUUCGUAGAUAUCAAGCGGAACACCGGUGGCGAAGGCGGCCUUCUGGACAGUGACUGACGCUGAGACGCGAAAGCGUGGGGAGCAAACAGG
rnacentral:rRNA from 1 species